UAAAAUUACAUUGUUACAGGAUACCUCUGUUAUUUGGAAAAUAAAAUCUGACCCAGAAGUGCCCUGUGCUCUCAUCUUCACCGGGAGGAAAGAAAAGGUAGGCAGCAAGAAGCUGAGGCUACAAUGACAAAGAUGAAAUAAUUCCUCCCCUGAAAGAACUUGACAUUUUACUGAAAGAGACCUCCGGGACCAGGUCUAACGAGGUAGCCACAAGUCUGGUUUCCCCCACAGUUCCGUUCCUAAAGAGGUACCCGUAGAACAGAGGAGUUGAAACUAACACAGAAUGAGCCGGUCCUUUCUUCUCCAGUAUACGAUCUCUGGGUAAGGAAGUUACCAGCAGCGAGGGGGGACAAUCGUCAACAAUAAAACAUUCAUGAAGUGUCAAA